GACGAACGCUGGCGGCGUGCUUAACACAUGCAAGUCGAACGGAAAGGCCCUGCUUUUGUGGGGUGCUCGAGUGGCGAACGGGUGAGUAACACGUGAGUAACCUGCCCUUGACUUUGGGAUAACUUCAGGAAACUGGGGCUAAUACCGGAUAGGAGCUCCUGCUGCAUGGUGGGGGUUGGAAAGUUUCGGCGGUUGGGGAUGGACUCGCGGCUUAUCAGCUUGUUGGUGGGGUAGUGGCUUACCAAGGCUUUGACGGGUAGCCGGCCUGAGAGGGUGACCGGCCACAUUGGGACUGAGAUACGGCCCAGACUCCUACGGGAGGCAGCAGUGGGGAAUAUUGCACAAUGGGCGGAAGCCUGAUGCAGCAACGCCGCGUGCGGGAUGACGGCCUUCGGGUUGUAAACCGCUUUCGCCUGUGACGAAGCGUGAGUGACGGUAAUGGGUAAAGAAGCACCGGCUAACUACGUGCCAGCAGCCGCGGUGAUACGUAGGGUGCGAGCGUUGUCCGGAUUUAUUGGGCGUAAAGGGCUCGUAGGUGGUUGAUCGCGUCGGAAGUGUAAUCUUGGGGCUUAACCCUGAGCGUGCUUUCGAUACGGGUUGACUUGAGGAAGUAGGGGAGAAUGGAAUUCCUGGUGGAGCGGUGGAAUGCGCAGAUAUCAGGAGGAACACCAGUGGCGAAGGCGGUUCUCUGGGCCUUUCCUGACGCUGAGGAGCGAAAGCGUGGGGAGCGAACAGGCUUAGAUACUCUGGUAGUCCACGCUGUAAACGGUGGGUACUAGGUGUGGGGUCCAUUCCACGGGUUCCGUGCCGUAGCUAACGCUUUAAGUACCCCGCCUGGGGAGUACGGCCGCAAGGCUAAAACUCAAAGGAAUUGACGGGGCCCCGCACAAGCGGCGGAGCAUGCGGAUUAAUUCGAUGCAACGCGUAGAACCUUACCUGGGUUUGACAUGGAUCGGGAGUGCUCAGAGAUGGGUGUGCCUCUUUUGGGGUCGGUUCACAGGUGGUGCAUGGCUGUCGUCAGCUCGUGUCGUGAGAUGUUGGGUUAAGUCCCGCAACGAGCGCAACCCUUGUUCACUGUUGCCAGCACGUUAUGGUGGGGACUCAGUGGAGACCGCCGGGGUCAACUCGGAGGAAGGUGGGGAUGACGUCAAGUCAUCAUGCCCCUUAUGUCCAGGGCUUCACGCAUGCUACAAUGGCUGGUACAGAGAGUGGCGAGCCUGUGAGGGUGAGCGAAUCUCGGAAAGCCGGUCUCAGUUCGGAUUGGGGUCUGCAACUCGACCUCAUGAAGUCGGAGUCGCUAGUAAUCGCAGAUCAGCAACGCUGCGGUGAAUACGUUCCCGGG
rnacentral:rRNA from 1 species